rnacentral:rRNA from 1 species
AUGUCGUCGCAGCCGCAUCACCAGCCGCUCGGCAUCACCGCCCCGGUGCCCGUCCCGGUGCACGAGGACGACCGGCUGGCCAAGCUCAAGAGGCGGAUCAAGGAGAAGCGCGGGCCGCUGAUGGUGGCGGCGAUGUUCCUGGCGUGCGCGGCCCACCGGUCCGCCCUGAACCCCCCGGGCGGGUACUGGAAGCACGGGCGCGACGCCGGCACCCCGGUGAUGGCCAACUACGAAAACUUCAGAAUGCUUACCUCCAUGGCGUUCUUUACGUCACUGGCGCUCCUGGUGCUGCUCUCCUGCGACCGCUUCUACCGGACGUGGGAGAGGACAUGGCAGGGCUGCUCCUCCUCGCUCUCUUCGACGCCGGCUGCCUCGCCUCUGCCUACGUAG